GAUGAACGCUGGCGGCGUGCUUAAUACAUGCAAGUCGAGCGAACGGACGCGAAGCUUGCUUUUCUGAUGUUAGCGGCGGACGGGUGAGUAACACGUGGAUCACCUACCUAUAUGACUGGGAUCACUUCGGGAAACCGGAGCUAAUACCGUAUAAUAUUUUGAACCGCAUGGUUCAAAAGUGAAUGACGGUCUUGCUGUCACUUAUAGAUGGAUCCGCGCUGCAUUAGAUAGUUGGUAAGGUAACGGCUUACCAAGGCAACGAUGCAUAGCCGACGUGAGAGGGUGAUAGGCCACACUGGAACGGAGACACGGUCCAGACUCCUACGAGAGGCAGCAGUAGGGAAUGUGCCGCAAUGGGCGAAAGCCUGACGGAGCAACGGCGCGUGAGUGAUGAAGGUCUUCUGAUCGUAAAGCUCUGUUAUUGGGUAAGAACAGAUGUGGAAGUAAAUGUGGACAUCUUGACGGUACCGAAUCAGAAAGCCACGGCUAACUACGUG
rnacentral:rRNA from 1 species